UGAGGGAAUAUUGGGUCAAUGGGCGGAAGCCUGAACCAGCCAAGUAGCGUGAGGGAUGACUGCCCUAUGGGUUGUAAACCUCUUUUAUAAGGGAAUAAAAUACGGGACGUGUCCUGUUUUGCAUGUACCUUAUGAAUAAGCAUCGGCUAACUCCGUGCCAGCAGCCGCGGUAAUACGGAGGAUGCGAGCGUUAUCCGGAUUUAUUGGGUUUAAAGGGUGCGUAGGCGGAUUAUUAAGUCAGCGGUGAAAGCGUGUGGCUCAACCAUACAGUUGCCGUUGAUACUGGUAGUCUUGAGUGUAAACGAGGUAGGCGGAAUGUGAUGUGUAGCGGUGAAAUGCUUAGAUAUGUCACAGAACCCCGAUUGCGAAGGCAGCUUACCAGGAUACGACUGACGCUGAGGCACGAAAGCGUGGGUAUCAAACAGGAUUAGAUACCCUGGUAGU
rnacentral:rRNA from 1 species